CCUUGAUAACUCAAUUGGUAAAGAAUCUGCCUGCAAUGCAGGAGACCCUGGUUCAACUCCUGGAUCUGGAA
rnacentral:tRNA from 1 species